AGGAAGAAGCAGGAUGAUAUCUGUGUUUUUUUCUCGUACAAUAAGUCUGUAACCUCUGGCAGUAAGUGUUGUGUCACCUGGGUGUGUUUAUGCCUAGGACAUUACUGCUAAGCAUUUGUCUGUGAGAAACCAGCAUGAGUUUGAAGAAGAGAGGCACAAGGAACCUAUUUCCUUCAGCACACUGCUUCAGCUUUCCAAACACUAAACUUAGGGAUACAGCAGCAGUAAAACAACAAAAUAAAUUCCAUCUUACCCUCUCCUCCCUCCCCAAACUCCCAGGGUUCUCCCUAAAUAUCUGUGGUCACCUAUUUAGGUUACUUACAAAAUUUCCACUUACCACAGUAAUUUUGUAGGAAUGAGUGUGUUCCUUCAGUGCUAGAGAAUAUGGCUUUGUGAUAAUAAGGGAAGAAAUAGGGAAUGGAAAAAAGAUCAAAGGAAAGUAGAGGCUUUGCCUAGUACUGUCCUUUUACCAAAUAGCCUGAGUAGGGAAUGGGGGAAAGGCCAGGCAGUUCUUCAUCCUGAGUUCUUGUGUCAGUGAAGACUGAAAGCAAGUUGUGACAGUUUCACAGGGUUAAGACCAUGUUUUGGGUUGGUUGAUGUUUGUUCAGGCAGGAAGGCUGCCUAUGCACGUAACUCUAAGCACUUUUAUUUUGUCUGACUCAUAGGUUGUCACACCUGAAAAAAGGGAAGUCCAGCUAAGCUUGGAAACAGAACAAGGGAACCCACGUGUACCUAAAAACUGCCUUUGUUAAAAACAAAACAACAAAUGAGGGGCAUCAUGGCCUGACCCGAAGAAGUCCACAGUGUUUCUGAAAUGAGCUGUGACUGCUUUUGCAUCACUCUUAAGUGUAAGGCUUUCUGUACUUGAGGUUGUCAAGAGGUCUGUGACCAGAAGGAAGGAAACAGCCCUUUCUAAAGAGGACAUUAUGUGAGUCCCCUAACAGAAACCCCUGCACUACAGCACUUCAGAGGGCCUGGCCAAUCCUAGCUAAAAGCUCAGGCUACACUUGCUUAUGUGAGUCACCACUUUACUUACUUCAUACCUCAGGCACGAUGGGAAGUAACGGUGGUGAUACUAGUAUACAUGAAAGC